rnacentral:rRNA from 1 species
UUGAACUGAAGAGUUUGAUCAUGGCUCAGAUUGAACGCUGGCGGCGGGCUUAACACAUGCAAGUCGAGCGGAAACGAUGAUAGCUUGCUAUCAGGCGUCGAGCGGCGG